UGGGGAAUUUUGGACAAUGGGCGAAAGCCUGAUCCAGCAAUGCCGCGUGUGUGAAGAAGGCCUUCGGGUUGUAAAGCACUUUUGUCCGGAAAGAAAUCCUUGGCUCUAAUACAGUCGGGGGAUGACGGUACCGGAAGAAUAAGCACCGGCUAACUACGUGCCAGCAGCCGCGGUAAUACGUAGGGUGCGAGCGUUAAUCGGAAUUACUGGGCGUAAAGCGUGCGCAGGCGGUUUGCUAAGACCGAUGUGAAAUCCCCGGGCUCAACCUGGGAACUGCAUUGGUGACUGGCAGGCUAGAGUAUGGCAGAGGGGGGUAGAAUUCCACGUGUAGCAGUGAAAUGCGUAGAGAUGUGGAGGAAUACCGAUGGCGAAGGCAGCCCCCUGGGCCAAUACUGACGCUCAUGCACGAAAGCGUGGGGAGCAAACAGGAUUAGAUACCCUGGUAGUCCACGCCCUAAACGAUGUCAACUAGUUGUUGGGGAUUCAUUUCCUUAGUAACGUAGCUAACGCGUGAAGUUGACCGCCUGGGGAGUACGGUCGCAAGAUUCAAAACUCAAAGGAAUUGACGGGGUCAUAGCUGUUUCCU
rnacentral:rRNA from 1 species